rnacentral:rRNA from 1 species
GAUGAACGCUGGCGGCGUGCCUAAUACAUGCAAGUCGAGCGAACAGAUAAGGAGCUUGCUCCUCUGACGUUAGCGGCGGACGGGUGAGUAACACGUGGGUAACCUACCUAUAAGACUGGGAUAACUUCGGGAAACCGGAGCUAAUACCGGAUAAUAUUUCGAACCGCAUGGUUCGAUAGUGAAAGAUGGUUUUGCUAUCACUUAUAGAUGGAUCCGCGCCGUAUUAGCUAGUUGGUAAGGUAACGGCUUACCAAGGCGACGAUACGUAGCCGACCUGAGAGGGUGAUCGGCCACACUGGAACUGAGACACGGUCCAGACUCCUACGGGAGGCAGCAGUAGGGAAUCUUCCGCAAUGGGCGAAAGCCUGACGGAGCAACGCCGCGUGAGUGAUGAAGGUCUUCGGAUCGUAAAACUCUGUUAUUAGGGAAGAACAUACGUGUAAGUAACUGUGCACGUCUUGACGGUACCUAAUCAGAAAGCCACGGCUAACUACGUG